CCUACGGGCGGCUGCAGUGGGGAAUUUUGGACAAUGGGCGAAAGCCUGAUCCAGCCAUGCCGCGUGAGUGAAGAAGGCCUUCGGGUUGUAAAGCUCUUUCGCAAGGGAAGAAAACUUACUCAAUAACACUGGGUGAGGCUGACGGUACCUUGAUAAGAAGCACCGGCUAACUACGUGCCAGCAGCCGCGGUAAUACGUAGGGUGCGAGUGGGAAUCGGAAUUACGGGGCGGAAAGCGAGAGCAGGAUGUUAAAUCCCCGGGCUCAACCUGGGAACUGCGUUUGGAACUGCAAGGCUAGAGUGUGUCAGAGGGAGGUAGAAUUCCACGUGUAGCAGUGAAAUGCGUAGAGAUGUGGAGGAAUACCGAUGGCGAAGGCAGCCUCCUGGGAUAACACUGACGCUCAUGCUCGAAAGCGUGGGGAGCAAACAGGAUUAGAUACCCGAGUAGUC
rnacentral:rRNA from 1 species